UGCCCAAACACACGCACCAAGAAGUCAUCAAAGACAGCCCAACUCACAGCCCAUGAGGGGCCCUGAGUACUGCCUCUGACCUCUCUAUGGCAAGCCAAAUGGCCAUGGGAAGACCCCAUGGAGUGUCAGAAUGAUGCCGUUGAGGGCAAGGAUUUUAGACCGGUCAUGGAUUCUGCCUGUGCACUGGGCUCUACCACUUUCUAGCUAUCUGGCUACCAGCAAGUUACCUUAACAGUCUAAGUUUCAACCUCCCCAUUCGUGAAAUGGAGAUAACGUCUUAGUCAUAGGGGUUGCAAGUCUACUGCAUAUUAAGAGUGUAGCACUAAGCCUGGCUCUUCGUAAGUAUUCACUUCCCUUCCUAGACCAGUGACUUCUGUUCAAUCUGAUGGAAUAUUCCUUGCCAGUCUGCCAGCUGAAUGCUGCAAUUCUCCUCUGCCUGCCAGGAGUUAUCUUCUAAGACAGCAGCAGAGAUAAUGACUACGAGGCGCUGUGUUGCAGCAUAUGAAGUAUGCCUGGCACCGAAGCCGCACCUCGCUUUGCAUACACACACACACACACACACCUCUACAGAAAUUGGGAGCAGGUGGACAGUGGUUCAUUAUUGCUAGACACCACAGAGAGAGACAAAAGUCCAGAAAAAAUGAUGCUACGCUUUAUAAAUUUAGCAAGACACCGGUGCCUCUGCUUCCUGUCUGCCUGCUGCAGCAUUGCCCAAGCCCUCCUGGCCUCCUUUCUCACUCACACCUGCAGUCUGCAGUGAGGCCCUUCAAGAGAUGCCUGCUCUGUGAGGUUAUUUAAGUCAGGAAGCAUUAAUCUGAAGAAAUGCUUUGAAGCAAAGACCUGGAUGUUCAAGUCCUCCCACUUGCUGGAGUUGCUGUUACCUUAAAGAUUUAAUUAAAAGUGAUUCAAAAAUCUCUAUCCCCUCUGCAGCGGAAAAGGCGUCCUCCUGACAAUAUCACCGCAGUCUCUCAGUCCCUAGAUCCUACCUGUGCUGAAUUCUUUCUCUCUCUCCUGUUCCCUCCAGAAUUUGCUCUCACCUUUCCUGAACGAAUCACCCCCACUGGACACCCCCACAUCUUGUCAUCUCGUCACUCCCUAAUUGCUGCCACCUCCAGGCUCUGUGUUAAGCAGACAUUUCUGAAGGGACGGGCAACAGACAGAAGUAACAUCAUCCUGCUGCUCAGUAAAUGACUUCAGACUGAAUAUUACGCAUUCCAGUUUUUAAAUUCCCCUUGAGUCAGUUCUGCCACCAGAGGGGUUUUACUGACUUCCUUUCUGAUUGGCUUAGUCACUAACUCCUCGCAAUGCCUCUGGCCCUUUCCCCCCAACCUCUCUUCCAUUCCUUGCUAGUCAGAUCGCCCCAUCCCCUAAAAUUCCUAUAUCUUUUUAGGCAGAGAGAUUUAACUACCUCUUACGCGUUGCCAGCCAUGCCCUAAGGCUUAAGGGACAUCUUUUCACAAUUCAGCAAGGCGUUUUGCUAAACCUGUGCGGUUUAAUACUUUAAAUGUAAUAAAAAUUAAAUACAAUUUAAAAUUCAA